UAUAAGAAUGGUGACUGUGAACCAGGCAAAGAGAGAUGCUACACAUUGUGUGAUUCCAGUUUGUGUAUGAAGAGAAGGCAGCAUAGAUAGGGUGCAAUAGCAGAUGACCCUGAUACUUAGUACCCCAUUAUGUUUUAUGGAUAAUCACUUCUGCCAGAUGCUGUACAAAGGCCAACAGGUAUUAAUUGUUCUCAAUAGACCUGAGUUCAACAGCUUGUGCUGUCAGGGUAACCAAGUUUGCAGUAGUGUUUGAGCCACCUCCUAUAGAGAAUCGAUGCUGAAAAUGAUUCAGAGAUCAUUCUAAUAAUAAUAAUGCAUGGCUUUAUUGAUGGUUGUGAUGCUUUCACUGUCAUCCUUGCUGGGAUGCCAAUGCUGCAGGUAUGAUGACAAUCGUCUUUGCUACCCUGCCAGGUCUAAAUGUGAUGUGGCUCCAGGACAGGUAUGACAGCGCCCUCUUCUUUGCAGGUACAGAAGGACAUGACCUAUACGUCGCUCCAGCAGAUGAGUCUCUGGCAAAGCAGCUUAACCAGAAGAUGUACCCAUGAAACCAGGACAUAGUAGGAUGUCUAAAAGCUUGAUUCUCAAAGGUGUGGUGAUGCCCCGUUACCCUUAAAAAUGGUUGAAGCUGGAGCAAAGCUUUCCCAAUGAAACUCGAAACCAGGAGAGACUGCCUUCUUCAGGAGGUCUAAUAAAAACUUCAAUUCAGGCUCCCAGGUCAUGCCUGACUUUUGAAAGUGCAACAGAAGCUGUAAGUCACCAGGGUACUCUCAGUACUCUCGGAAAAUAUCCUGUUGGGUCAUCACCAAGCAGGCAGAGCUGGGUUGCUGCCGAGCUGUUCACGGCCUUGCCUGCACCCAGGGAGCACCCAAAACCGAAAGUGCAAAGGGUUUACUGGGCAUGCACGUGUCUGGGGGAGCCCCGCGACACACUGCCACGCCAAAUGGCUGUGUAACAGAUAUGCCUUCACUGAGCACAUUGCCACAGUCCCUACAGAGGAGGUUUACUUCCCAUAAGAGCUUCUUUUGUGCAUCUCAGUGAACUUACGUGGUUUGAAAGACUGUUGCCAAUGUAGCAGAUCAUUUGGACAACACUGCAGGGAUUGAUACCAUUUGUCAUUGGGCUUGGACUUGGGGUACCAAUGGGCUCAGCAUCAGAGCCUCAGAGAAAGAGGUAAAUAGCAAGGGAAAAUCUGUCCUCUUGCUCCAUGUUUCUGACACUUUUGUUAAACAAAGUCUCUGUAAUGACAGGACCGUGGCAUUUUUCCACUUGGUUCAGUACGCAGCGUGACGUACUUCAGAAUUAUUCGCUGGAGAUUCCAUUAUGGAAAAGGAGAGAAUAUUUAUCACUGAUACUGUUUAGCUCCUAAAGCACUGGCUCGAAAUGGAGCUGAGAUGUCAGGGUAAAUUCAGCACUCAAAUGUUACAGGCGUUAGAGUGCAGGAUUCAAAAAUGAUCAUUUUAUUGAUGUGGUAUACUUUUGACUUGCCAAAGCACUGCACAAAGAUAUUUCGAAAUCCAGAGCAUCAGCCAUCAAGGAGAGGAACUGACGUGGUAAGGAAAAUAAAAUAUAACCCCUGAAGAGUCCCUGUCUGAGACUGGCAAAAUCUUCAGCCCUGACUGCGCAGCAAUAGGCUCCAGCACAACUCUCUGCCUGUCGUGUGAAAUCAGUUGUGCAAAGCCAGAUGACACCACCUGAAGCCAACAAC
ensembl:lncRNA